UACGGAGGGGGCUAGCGUUGUUCGGAAUUACUGGGCGUAAAGCGCACGUAGGCGGCCAACUAAGUCAGACGUGAAAUCCCUCGGCUUAACCGGGGAACUGCGUCUGAUACUGGAUGGCUUGAGAUUGGGAGAGGGAUGCGGAAUUCCAGGUGUAGCGGUGAAAUGCGUAGAUAUCUGGAGGAACACCGGUGGCGAAGGCGGCAUCCUGGACCAACACUGACGCUGAGUGAGCGAAAGCCAGGGGAGCAAACGGG
rnacentral:rRNA from 1 species